rnacentral:rRNA from 1 species
CGUAGGGUGCAAGCGUUAUCCGGAUUUACUGGGUGUAAAGGGAGCGUAGACGGUAUGGCAAGUCUGAUGUGAAAACCCGGGGCUCAACCCCGGGACUGCAUUGGAAACUGUCGGACUAGAGUGUCGGAGAGGCAAGUGGAAUUCCUAGUGUAGCGGUGAAAUGCGUAGAUAUUAGGAGGAACACCAGUGGCGAAGGCGGCUUGCUGGACGAUGACUGACGUUGAGGCUCGAAAGCGUGGGGAGCAAACAGGAUU